CACUGGUUUGCCUGUUAACCGUAGGUGUCACGUUUGAAGGGACGAAACGGAACGUCAUCGCUCGAACGGCCAAUCAUAUCGCGCAUUGAGGAACCCAAAGCCUCCUAACAGAGAUGCCUCGAUCCUUUCGAAAAUUCGCACGGAGGCAACAGUCAAGGUGAACAUCUGUGAGUUUCUCCAAAGCGGUUACCAUCGGUAAACAGCAAGCCUACUGAUUGCCUGCCUGGUGUUGACCGACGCGACGAGGUGUAUUGCCUAAAUCCAAUCCACGGAUUGCUUCCUAGUUGGAGAUUUGACAUCCUCGUGAUCCUGGUGUGCGUGCGCCAUCCUCGAGGAAAUUGCUAGUGACUGUUCGAGUGUUGUUGCAGCUAAGGUCAUCAGAGAGGACAGACCAUCCUGCAUUUCUGUCAGAAACUGGACAACCCGAAGAUCAGGGAAUUUCUGGCCAGCUAUGAUCCAGAGGGUUCGGAGAAGGCUGCCUGCAUCCUCCAGCUCCUUAUGGUCUACUUUAAGGAGCCUACGGAGAAACUGAUGCUCGAAGUUGAUACCUGUGCCACUGCUGCUGAUGUAGUGAAUACUGCAGCACUCCCAAGCACCCCCUGCUUGAUCAUUCAAGAUGCUUCUUGGGCAUCAACCCGGAGAAAGGCUCCAAGGCAAAGAAGCGAAGCUCCAUUAACCCUCACGUGAGCACCCUUCACCGGAAGCUGAUAGACUUGGAAUGGUCUGCAUAGACUGCAUGGUGUGCGGGGACAAGUUUAGUGGGAAGCAUUACGGUCAGUUCACCUGCGAGGGAUUAUUUGUUUAAAGGAUCCGUUAAGGGUUCAUCUGUUUUUUAUGGAUAGUUGAGGUGAACUAGUUCAUGUUCCUGUUUGUUUACUCUGUUGUUUAUUUUGUCAAUAAAUAUGCCAGUGGGCUUCCAUUGAUUUUACCUCA